rnacentral:lncRNA from 1 species
UCUGAAUUUAGUACUAAAUGGGAAGAUAGUUUAAAGAUCAUUGAGGAACAAAAGGCAACUAUCAUCAACUUAGAAGCAGACAAGAUCAACAACUAACUGAGAUAGCCCAUCUGAAUGAAGAGGUAACUGAAUUAAACUCUCAUCUUGAGAAUUUAAAGAAGCAUGUUCUUAGGCUAUUCAAAGGAAGUGAUCUAGAUGAAAUCCUGGAAACCUUGCCUGCUCCCAGUAGAUCCAAAACAGGCACUGUGUACGA